rnacentral:rRNA from 1 species
UCGAGCGGCAGCACAGAGGACUUGUUCCUUGGGUGGCGAGCGGCGGACGGGUGAGUAAUGCCUAGGAAAUUGCCCUGAUGUGGGGGAUAACCAUUGGAAACGAUGGCUAAUACCGCAUGAUGCCUACGGGCCAAAGAGGGGGACCUUCGGGCCUCUCGCGUCAGGAUAUGCCUAGGUGGGAUUAGCUAGUUGGUGAGGUAAUGGCUCACCAAGGCGACGAUCCCUAGCUGGUCUGAGAGGAUGAUCAGCCACACUGGAACUGAGACACGGUCCAGACUCCUACGGGAGGCAGCAGUGGGGAAUAUUGCACAAUGGGCGCAAGCCUGAUGCAGCCAUGCCGCGUGUAUGAAGAAGGCCUUCGGGUUGUAAAGUACUUUCAGUCGUGAGGAAGGUGGUGUUGUUAAUAGCAGCAUCAUUUGACGUUAGCGACAGAAGAAGCACCGGCUAACUCCGUGCCAGCAGCCGCGGUAAUACGGAGGGUGCGAGCGUUAAUCGGA